AGGGUUUGAUUAUGGCUCAGAAUCAACGCUGGCGGCGUGCCUAACACAUGCAAGUCGAACGAGAAAGUGGAGCAAUCCAUGAGUAAAGUGGCGACCGGGUGAGUAACACGUGACCAAUCUACCCUCGAGUGGGGGAUAACUCCGGGAAACCGGAGCUAAUACCGCAUAACAUCUUUGGAACUCAGGUUCCGAUGAUCAAAGGAGCAAUCCGCUUGAGGAGGAGGUCGCGGCUGAUUAGCUAGUUGGCGGGGUAAUGGCCCACCAAGGCGAAGAUCGGUAGCCGGCCUGAGAGGGCGCACGGCCACACUGGAACUGAAACACGGUCCAGACUCCUACGGGAGGCAGCAGUGGGGAAUUUUGCGCAAUGGGGGAAACCCUGACGCAGCAACGCCGCGUGGAGGAUGAAGUCCCUUGGGACGUAAACUCCUUUCGACCGGGAAGAUAAUGACGGUACCGGUGGAAGAAGCACCGGCUAACUCUGUGCCAGCAGCCGCGGUAAUACAGAGGGUGCGAGCGUUGUUCGGAAUUAUUGGGCGUAAAGGGCGCGUAGGCGGUGCGGUAAGUCACCUGUG
rnacentral:rRNA from 1 species